rnacentral:rRNA from 1 species
UAGGGAAUCUUCGGCAAUGGACGAAAGUCUGACCGAGCAACGCCGCGUGAGUGGAGAAGGUUUUCGGAUCGUAAAACUCUGUUGGUAGAGAAGAACGUUGGUGAGAGUGGAAAGCUCAUCAAGUGACGGUAACUACCCAGAAAGGGACGGCUAACUACGUGCCAC